CCUACGGGAGGCAGCAGUGAGGAAUAUUGGUCAAUGAACGAGAGUCUGAACCAGCCAAGUAGCGUGAAUGAUGACUGCCCUAUGGGUUGUAAACUUCUUUUAUAUGGGAAUAAAAUGUUCCACGUGUGGGAUUUUGUAUGUACCAUAUGAAUAAGGAUCGGCUAACUCCGUGCCAGCAGCCGCGGUAAUACGGAGGAUCCGAGCGUUAUCCGGAUUUAUUGGGUUUAAAGGGAGCGUAGGUGGAUUGUUAAGUCAGUUGUGAAAGUUUGCGGCUCAACCGUAAAAUUGCAGUUGAAACUGGCAGUCUUGAGUACAGGAGAGGUGGGCGGAAUUCGUGGUGUAGCGGUGAAAUGCUUAGAUAUCACGAAGAACUCCGAUUGCGAAGGCAGUUCACUGGACUGCAACUGACACUGAGGCUCGAAAGUGUGGGUAUCAAACAGGAUUAGAUACCCGAGUAGUC
rnacentral:rRNA from 1 species